GUGCUCACUUCAGUAGCACGUAUACUAAAAUUGGAAUGAUACGGGGAAGAUUAGCAUGACCCUGUACAAGGAUGACACAUAAGUUCGUAAAGCAUUCCAUGUUUAA